GGAGCAGUGGCCGAGCGGUUUAAGGCAGCGGUCUUGAAAACCGCCAGAGGUGCAAGCCUCUCGUAGGUUCGAAUCCUACCUGCUCCACCA
rnacentral:tRNA from 1 species